CCUGUCCACACCCCCUGAGAACUCUUGUCUUCCAGUGAGACCUCUGUCCCAUUCCAGGAUCCAAACCCACCUCCCACCUCCAGCCAGGGUGGCAGAAAACCAGGUGCAUCUCACCCUACAAGCUCAUGGCUAAGCCGGGGGAGGAAGGGCAAAACACCCUAGGGUGAUACGCCCCACUCCAUUCACAGGCAAUACAAUCUCCGGUGGAGGGUGGGAGGAGAAGGGCAGACAAGAGAGGGACAGACGGAGGAUGCACUGCCUCAAAAGCCUCAAGUUCACAAUGCGGCCCCACAGGUAUCUCAUCCCUCAAGGAACCUGAACUCCACCACCACGAAGCCGUCCCCUCUCCCAACACACCAGCUCCAGCCCUGCUCAAGACAAGCCCUGAGCAUUGGGGCCGGCCGGGGACCCCUCCCCUCCCAGUAAACUGCACCUGGCAUCUGCUCUCUGGCUCUCCGCAUGCAUACCUUCCCAGGACAGAGUGGAGAUGCUGGUGGACCCAGUCCUCUAACUCAGAGACCCCCGCCUGCCUUGUCUGGACACAGCCCACAAUCAAGUCCAAGGGAAGAAAAGCAAAGGGAGGUUUCAAGAGACGGGGCAGAAGGCAAACCAAGAACUCCCCAAGCUUUGCGUUUAGGAGGAAGAGGAAGGAGGGAAGAUUGAAACGAAAAAGCAGGCAGCCCCCAACAUGGCUCACCCACCAUCCCCAACCCAGCCCAGCGUUUCAACAGCCAGCACAGGCUGAGGAACUCCGCUGCCUAGAACUCAAACGGAGGACCCUUCCUGCCUACAUCCUCUAAACCUGAAGAGGCCCAGGGCAGGACCCAGCUCCAGGCUCCAGCCUCCAAAGCAGACUGGUCAGGGGUCCUUCUAGCUAAGAGUCCUGGAUCUCUCA